rnacentral:sRNA from 10 species
GUAUGAUGUAUGAAAGAAUCCUGACAACCUGCGAAUUCACUCGAAAUCGAAAUAAUACGCAGGUUAACGUUUUCCCUGGUGUUGGCGCAGUCUUCGCGCACCCCGGCCUCGGU